rnacentral:rRNA from 1 species
AGAUGAGGAGCUUGCUCUUCAAAUCGAGUGGCGAACGGGUGAGUAACGCGUGAGGAACUUGCCUCAAAGAGGGGGACAACAGUUGGAAACGACUGCUAAUACCGCAUAAGCCCACGGCUCGGCAUCGAGCAGAGGGAAAAGGAGUAAUCCGCUUUGAGAUGGCCUCGCGUCCGAUUAGCUAGUUGGUGAGGUAACGGCCCACCAAGGCGACGAUCGGUAGCCGGACUGAGAGGUUGAACGGCCACAUUGGGACUGAGACACGGCCCAGACUCCUACGGGAGGCAGCAGUGGGGAAUAUUGCACAAUGGGGGAAACCCUGAUGCAGCGACGCCGCGUGGAGGAAGAAGGUCUUCGGAUUGUAAACUCCUGUUGUUGAGGAAGAUAAUGACGGUACUCAACAAGGAAGUGACGGCUAACUACGUGCCAGCAGCCGCGGUAAAACGUAGGUCACAAGCGUUGUCCGGAAUUACUGGGUGUAAAGGGAGCGCAGGCGGGAGAACAAGUUGGAAGUGAAAUCCAUGGGCUCAACCCAUGAACUGCUUUCAAAACUGUUUUUCUUGAGUAGUGCAGAGGUAGGCGGAAUUCCCGGUGUAGCGGUGGAAUGCGUAGAUAUCGGGAGGAACACCAGUGGCGAAGGCGGCCUACUGGGCACCAACUGACGCUGAGGCUCGAAAGUGUGGGUAGCAAACAGGAUUAGAUACCCUGGUAGUCCACACCGUAAACGAUGAUUACUAGGUGUUGGAGG